rnacentral:rRNA from 1 species
AUUGAACGCUGGCGGCAGGCCUAACACAUGCAAGUCGAGCGGAGCGGGGGACGGGGGAGUGCUGCCUAGUGAUCUGCCUGGUAGUGGGGGAUAACGUCCGGAAACGGGAGCUAAUACCGCAUGCUAUCAGAUGAGCCUAGGUCGGAUUAGCUAGUUGGUGGGGUAAAGGCCUACCAAGGAGACGAUCCGUAACUGGGCUGAGGGGAUGAUCAGUCACACUGGAACUGAGACACGGUCCAGACUCCUACGGGAGGCAGCAGUGGGGAAUAUUGGACAAUGGGCGAAAGCCUGAUCCAGCCAUGCCGCGUGUGUGAAGAAGGUCUUCGGAUUGUAAAGCACUUUAAGUUGGGAGGCGUUACCAACAGAAUAAGCACCGGCUAACUUCGUGCCAGCAGCCGCGGUAAUUC